UACCGCAUACGCCCUACGGGGGAAAGGAGGGGACCUUCGGGCCUUCCGCGAUUGGAUGAACCUAGGUGGGAUUAGCUAGUUGGUGAGGUAAUGGCUCACCAAGGCGACGAUCCCUAGCUGUUCUGAGAGGAUGAUCAGCCACACUGGGACUGAGACACGGCCCAGACUCCUACGGGAGGCAGCAGUGGGGAAUAUUGCACAAUGGGGGAAACCCUGAUGCAGCCAUGCCGCGUGUGUGAAGAAGGCCUUCGGGUUGUAAAGCACUUUCAGUAGGGAGGAAAGGUAAUAGUUUAAUAAACUAUUACUGUGACGUUACCUACAGAAGAAGGACCGGCUAACUCCGUGCCAGCAGCCGCGGUAAUACGGAGGGUCCGAGCGUUAAUCGGAAUUACUGGGCGUAAAGCGUGCGCAGGCGGUUUGUUAAGCCAGAUGUGAAAUCCCCGGGCUC
rnacentral:rRNA from 1 species